rnacentral:ncRNA from 1 species
UGUUUUUGGUUUUUGCUUGCUCUGUUGGUGAUUCUUUUGUUGACUUGUUAUUUUUUUUUUGUUGUUUGUUCCUUUAUGCUCACUUGCCAGACCUCCAUGGACUCGGUUUGCAGCACGUUGGCGGGACCUGGACAUUUGGAAGGAUUUUGGAGAGCGGCGACAGGACCAGAAGACUCACGGAGUUUGCUGAGGAGGUGUUUCGGAGGAGGAGGGGCUUGCAGUAGCCCAUUUUUCUCGCCGUGUGGUAGCGGCGUAGAAUACUGCCACAGCUCCCCAUAGCUUGUCGUAGGAGGCGACUAAUAUGGCAAGGUUCCCCAUCCGAGCUUGUCGGAGCUAAAGGGGUGGGUCACCGAGCCCACAAACUUCGGUACCACGGGUUGGAUAGUGUCCAAGCACUACCAUUUGAGGUAGGCCCCCUUGUGGGAGUAUCGUGGUGGCUGUGGUUGAUACCCAAAUCGCGGGUAGAGUCCUCGGACUCGACGUGGAGUUGCGUUAUACAACUCGGGCGCUGUGACCCAUAGAUCAGUAGAGGUGAUAGAUACACUUCGCUCCUCACCAAGGGGAAGUAUUCUGUCCGACUCGCAGAUACUUAAAUUGGUACCGGGCUAGUUGCUAUGUAUUUGCUAUAGCUUCUAUUCCGGGGCGUUGGCAGGCGUACCAUCCGUGCCCAUGCACUAUAUGCCUACUCGUAGGUAUAUUCGAGUGCCGUGGUUGUAAUCCCUUCAGUGUGGAACACGCCACGUUAAACAAGAUCGGAGAGAUCCGAGACAUACACCUGUCCCUAUCUACUAUCUAGCGAAACCACAGCCAAGGGAACGGGCUUGGAAUAAUUAGCGGGGAAAGAAGACCUUUUGAGCUUGACUCUAUUCUGGCAGUGGUAUGAGACAUGAGAAGUUGUAAAUAAAGGGGAAGAUAUAGAACUUCGGUUUGGUAUCGCCAAUGAAAAACCCCACUCUUAUUGUUUCCUUACUUUCCUUGAUUAAAUGGAACGUGUAUCAUUUCCAAGCCAUUAUAACGGAAAUUUUUUUUUAUUUUUUUAGGGAAUU